AGUCCUCCUCCCGUAUCCCUAACCUUCUGAAGCCCACCACCACACCCGUCGCUUGCCAUGGAUCGCGCCGCCGCCCUACUCCCCACCGUCGUCGCCGCCGCCCUACUCCCCACUGUCGUUGUCGCUCCCUGUCUCAUCUGCCGCCGCUGCCCACCACAUCCACCCUCUAUCACAUCCCACCGGCUCCACCGCCACCGUGAACCAUCUCUCGCAUUAGUCCUCUCUCUUGGACCAGCACGCUGCGGCGGAUGCUUCCGGUCGCGUGGUGGCGACGUGGCUGGUCGCCUAUAAGCUACAGCAAUGGUUCCCUGUUGUGCCCCUCCACUCAUCGGACCGCUGAGGCACGGAUGUACCCGGUGAGGAUCGUGCUCCGCGUAGCAAAUUCGGCCGUGUUCUGAGUGGUUGCUCGGCAAAGGUAAUUUUCUUCUCUGAAGUUCUCUCACGGACCGUGUAAUGGAUUUGCGGGUGUGCUAGGUGGAGUGCCACUGGAUUGCCAUGUUAGUGGGCAGAAUCUCCUCUCCUGCACACACGAACUUGGAUUUGGCAAGGAACUGGGUCAAUCUACUAUCCUUUGGCUUUGCAAUGGUGAUUAGAUAGUUCUGUUUUUUUCAAAUCAUGGUGCUUUAGUUAGUUUGUUAACAGGUAGAAGAACAAUUGAUCAGAAGGCCCAUAAUCUUUUCAUGGAUGUAGAAGAAACAGAAAAGAUCCUUUCACGUUGAAAAACAAAUCCACGUGUCUCUCAAAACCAAGUUGAGGCAUGGAUCCCGUGUAAUCAAGGAGCUUAUUGCGUCAAGAUUAUUUUCCUCCUCUGGAUCAGUGUUGUGCGCUCAAGGGAUUCAAUCUAGAAUCUUCUCACCUACAGUACAACCUAUGGAUGCCCGAGAUCGGUCGGGGCAUAACUAUGCUCAUCAGGGACCCUAUAUGGCAGGAUUAAUAUCUUUUCUUGAUUUCUUUUGUUGCUGCUCUGCCACAAUCUCCUGUUCAAGGAAGUACCUUGCCAAGCUGGCAUGUCCUGGCCGUUGUAGGUAAGAGAAUUGACUUCUGAUGAACUUUCUUAUAUAUCCUCUUUCAGUUAGAUAGUUAUAUUGUGAAACACUUGACAACGAAGCUCUCUGUCAACUAUUAGAGUAUUGAUGGUUUCUGUCGUAAAUCUGAAUGUUUUUGCGGGCAAUUGGUUUGUAAAAGCAAUGGCACGUGACAACUGCUAAAGCAUUGAGUGUCGUUGCUGUUGCACUCUCUAUAAGUAUGGGGAUUGAUUUUCUGUCAAUUGUGCGUUACAACUGACAACUACUAAAUUUCAAUGCCCAUUUUUGACAAUUUUAGGUUAAAUAGAAUGGCGUGUGAAAUAAUUGGUGUUAUCAAUUAGGAGUAAUCAUGGCAUUGUUGGGUAAUAUAGCAGUUAUGCUCUGCAUUGAUAUUGCCGUCAACACAAAGGAACUCUCGCAUAUGUUUGCUUUGUCUCCAACAGGGAAAUAAUGUGUGCGUACAUAUCCACUGGAACGUUACCCGCGCUCCGUACUCGGCUCCAGCGACACACACUUAUCUAACAAAGUGCUCACAACUUCCCAGCAAAUGCUGCUCACUGACUGCCUCCUCCAUUCAAUGAGGAAAAGUUGACUGCUUGAGAAAAAGAAGCUUUCUGUGGAUCUACUACAAUUAUAUGAUGUCCUCAAAUGAGACCUUUGCAAGCAUGCCAAGAUAUCAGCAUAUAUAUGUAGCGCACCUUUGGUUCAAUCGUACAUUCAUAGUAGUUUGAUGUACUACGUUUUGGUUGGCAGAGAGGAUUCUUAUGGUGACAGGUGACACAUGAUUCAGUGUAUUUUGUUUUGUUUUGUUUUCAGGCCGAUGAAAUUGCUGGACUAGAAAAAGAAUCUGUGUGUAUAUAAGUAAUUUUCAUUGCAACGUACACUUACCUCUACACAAGGCAUUGUUGUAAUAAUAAUUUCUAUAUUCUAAUAAGUUUUGGUUGGACACUUGA